UACGAAGGGGGCUAGCGUUGCUCGGAAUUACUGGGCGUAAAGCGCACGUAGGCGGCUUUCUAAGUCGGGGGUGAAAUCCUGGAGCUCAACUCCAGAACUGCCUCGAUACUGGAAAGCUCGAGUCCGGGAGAGGUGAGUGGAACUGCGAGUGUAGAGGUGAAAUUCGUAGAUAUUCGCAAGAACACCAGUGGCGAAGGCGGCUCACUGGCCCGGUACUGACGCUGAGGUGCGAAG
rnacentral:rRNA from 1 species